rnacentral:rRNA from 1 species
GACGAACGCUGGCGGCGUGCUUAACACAUGCAAGUCGAACGGAAAGGCCCUGCUUUUGUGGGGUGCUCGAGUGGCGAACGGGUGAGUAACACGUGAGUAACCUGCCCUUGACUUUGGGAUAACUUCAGGAAACUGGGGCUAAUACCGGAUAGAAGCUCCGGCUCCAUGGUGGGGGUGGGAAAGUUUCGGCGGUUGGGGAUGGACUCGCGGCUUAUCAGCUUGUUGGUGGGGUAGUGGCUUACCAAGGCUUUGACGGGUAGCCGGCCUGAGAGGGUGACCGGCCACAUUGGGACUGAGAUACGGCCCAGACUCCUACGGGAGGCAGCAGUGGGGAAUAUUGCACAAUGGGCGGAAGCCUGAUGCAGCAACGCCGCGUGCGGGAUGACGGCCUUCGGGUUGUAAACCGCUUUCGCCUGUGACGAAGCGUGAGUGACGGUAAUAGGUAAAGAAGCACCGGCUAACUACGUG